rnacentral:misc_RNA from 1 species
AACGCACAUUGCGCCCUGCGGUAUUCCGCAGGGCAUGCCUGUUCGAGCGUCAUUACAACCACUCAAGCCUGGCUUGGUAUUGGGGUUUGCGGUUCCGCAGCCCCUAAAAUCAGUGGCGGUGCCGGUGUGGCUCUACGCGUAGUAAUUCUUCUCGCGAUGGAGUUCCCCUGGAUACCUGCCAGAACCCCCCAAUUUUUACAGGUUGACCUCGGAUCAGGUAGGGAUACCCGCUGAACUUAA